UCACAAAGUGUAUUAUAGAUUUUUUUUAAAAAAAAAAAUAGACCUCUUUGUG
rnacentral:tRNA from 1 species